GGAGGGUGUAGCUCAGUGGUAGAGUGCGUGCUUAGCAUGCAUGAGGUUCUGGGUUCAAUCCCCAGCACCUCCG
rnacentral:tRNA from 1 species